rnacentral:rRNA from 1 species
UGGGGGAUAUUGCACAAUGGAGGAAACUCUGAUGCAGCAACGCCGCGUGAGGGAAGAAGGUUUUCGGAUUGUAAACCUCUGUCCUCAGGGACGAUAAUGACGGUACCUGAGGAGGAAGCUCCGGCUAACUACGUGCCAGCAGCCGCGGUAAUACGUAGGGAGCAAGCGUUGUCCGGAUUUACUGGGUGUAAAGGGUGCGUAGGCGGCUCUGCAAGUCAGGUGUGAAAACUAUGGGCUUAACCCAUAGACUGCAUUUGAAACUGUGGGGCUUGAGUGAAGUAGAGGCAGGCGGAAUUCCCGGUGUAGCGGUGAAAUGCGUAGAGAUCGGGAGGAACACCAGUGGCGAAGGCGGCCUGCUGGGCUUUAACUGACGCUGAGGCACGAAAGCAUGGGUAGCAAACAGGAUUAGAUACCCUGGUAGUCCAUGCCGUAAACGAUGAUUACUAGGUGUGGGGGGUCUGACCCCUUCCGUGCCGGAGUUAACACAAUAAGUAAUCCACCUGGGAAGUACGAUCGCAAGAUUG